GUAAAAAAUAAAAUAAUUAUACUACUAUUUUAUUAUGGUAUUUAUGUUUUGAAUAUAAUAUUAAUUAAAUAAUAAAGUUAACUCACGAAACUAAGUUAUUUUGCAAUUAAUAAAAACAAGCGAAGUGUUGAAUGGAAUGAACCUGGACCAUUUAUCCGACCCGGUUCGUCCCCACUCGGCCCCCUGCAUUUUCUUUGGCCAACCCGUUUCUUUUCUUCUCAUUUUCCAUCCAACACUUUUCCCUCUCGUUCACCCUCUCUGGCCAAGACCCAGCGGCUGCUGAAGCUUCCCACCAUCUCUACGAGCACUGGCGACGGGAAUGAGAAGAACAACGGUGAGUUUAGGCGGCGGCAGUGAGCCUAUGACUGCUUCACACAGAGAGAGAGAAACACCGCAACUUCUAGCGUGAUUCCAGCGGUUAUCGAUGUCGAACGGACGUGAUUUCGAUGGCGAUGGAUCCCUCUUGACGCUAGCUCCAUUUCCCGAUCAACCUCAUCUCGAAUGCAUGGCCGAAGGAGAAAGUUUAGUACAAAUUAUAUUUAACGCGUACUAUAUGGUUAUUUGGCUUUAUUAUAAGUAGAAUAAUUUUAUAACAGAAAAUAAAAUAGUUUAACAAAAUUUUACGGUUUAUAUUAUGAGAUUUUUGUAAAUUAUUAUUUUUUUAAC
rnacentral:misc_RNA from 1 species